ACAAGACCUACUGGUCCCAGCCAUUGCUUUUGUCUUCUUUAUUUAUCAUCCCCAGUCCUCCCAACUCAACAACUCGCCUUUCAGGACCCUUAUUCCUGUCGGUUCAGGAUGAGCAGAACAAAGGGGGAAUCAUCAUGAGUGAGUAUGGCCAUGUGACUAGUAUAAUUGGAAGACCCAAACCCUCCAUUUUCAGAGAUACCUUGGACCCUUAUCAGUCUGUUGGGAAUUGAUUUAAGGUGGACUUCUUCUCUCUUAUGUCGCUUCCAGAGUGGAACAAUAUGGGUCCAGGAAAGAGAUGGGGAUCAGAAAAUAAAGUUGUGGAGAAGACUGGCAAAAAGGGGGCCUUCAAGGAUCACAAUUUUAGGCAUGCUCUGCCAAGGACAAGAUAACUGCACCAUGUCCUCAGAUUCACCUGGCUUGCUUGAUAACAGUUUGACUAAAUGUGCAUCCUCUGACUCACCAGAAUCACACCCCCACUCUAUGUAUAUUGGUCUCUGUUUUUCCCCCAGGUAUAUGCCUAUAAUGGAAAAGAGGGGAGAGCUCAUAUUGGCCUUGACUCAAUCUUAACGAAGGUUGUGGGCCCCAAGUCUGGUCCCAAUCCUAAGUAGGGGCAGGAAUAGCCAGCAUAACUGCCAUAGGCACCUCAGCCUUGAUUGUUGGGAAUCCAAAAUUUUAGGGGACUCAGUUCCCAGAUAGACUUAGACCUAGGCCAUUUGGAGAAUUCUAUUUCCAGGCUGAAGAGUCAAAUUGACUCCCUCACAGGGGUAGUCCUACAGAACUGAAGGAGGCUAGACUUCCUUUUAUGAAACAGGGAGGAGUUUGCAUGGCCUUGGGAGAAACCUGCUGUUUCCAUGCCAACCAGUCAGUGGUACCAAUUAUAAAAUUAGGGUUUUAUAAAUGUAUCUCUGUUAAGUUUGAGUCUUAAAAAAUUAUAAUUAUUGAAUUAAAGGUUGUUUAGUAUCAAAAUAAACUGUAAAUCAUAAAUACACUCCAUAGAGAGACUUUUUUCAGUGUACUGUUACAAAAUGUCAGUUUUUUAUAUGACUCAGUUUCUCCAAAUACCUAAAGCUUAACAAAUAUAACAAAAAUAUCAGUUUGGGUAUGGUCCAAUUUUAAAAUAAACCAUCUUGAAAGCCUGGUGUUGCCUCCUUCAUGUAAGGAAAAUAAA